ACUGUUGAUGAAGAUGAGAUGAUUGGUUUUAUCUUUAAUGGUUUAGAUUUCUAUUACAAUCCUAUCGUAUCUUCCAUUCUUGGUCGCACUGAUCCUGUUUCCAUGAGUGAUCUCUAUUCCCAACUAUUGUCCUAUGAGA